GACAGAGGCCUCGAGCGUUAGGCGGAAUCACUGGGCUUAAAGCGUGUGUAGGCGGGCCCGUCAGUACCUUGUGAAAUCCCACGGCUCAACCGUGGAACCGCUGGGUAUACUGCGGGUCUUGGGCCGACUAGGGGCAGCCGGAACAAGCGGUGGAGCGGUGAAAUGCGUAGAUAUCGCUUGGAACGCCGAAGGUGAAAACAGGCUGCUGGGGUCGCGCCGACGCUGAGACGCGAAAGCGUGGGGAGCAAACAGG
rnacentral:rRNA from 1 species